UAAAAAAAAUUAGGGAUUCCGAUUCUUACCUGCUCAAUUGUGAAUUUUAAAAAUUUCAACCUCCCUAGUCCCAGACACAGCACAAAAAACAAUGGAUUCCGUUGCAGAAUCAUCAAAAAAUAGAAAACGCCUUCGAGAAGAAGAGGAACAACAAAAAAAAGAAGAGAUCAAAGCUGAAGAAACAAGCUCUACCGAUCAAACUCUCUCACUCGUGGACAGUCUCACGUUUAGCGAUACAAUGGUGGCUCUUCGCAUAAUGCGAGCUCAGUUUCCACAUAUCGACAAGGUGUCGAUUCAGCCUUUCAUUUUACAUUCACAAUUGUAUAGCAGUGUAAAGGACAGAACACAAGUCGAUAGAGAAUUAGAGUCCUUGAGGAGAGAGAAGGUAUUGCGUGUUUUCAAACUCAAUACUGGACAAGAUGACCAUGCUAUAAUGUUUUUGGAUGAUUAUUUAACCCAGUUAGAUCGUGUCGUGAAAAGAAUGGAAGAAAAGAAGCAACGUAAUCUUGAAGUUUUUGAGUGGUUUAAAGCACAUGUUAUUGAUAACAAGCAGGAUCCUAGUAUUGACCAUCAAGAGCUCUGCUUACUCCUGUCACAUGAUGGAAAGGUGAAGGACGAGCACAUCUCUCUUUUAAUCAAUGCUGGUCUUCUUACUCGCCAACUGAUUGAUCCUAACAUGUACUGGUUUUCAAUUCCAAAUAUUGGUUCAAUACUCAAGGGCCUUUCUCAGGGAAGGAAGGAGCUCUUAUCUCUUUUAAACCGACAGAGAUAUAAAGAAAUGAUGCUGGCCCCUUUGGAGAAGAAGCGUCUUCGACUGUCUCUGCUUGAUAUGAGAUUUCACCUUCGUGACUUGAUUGGCUCAGGUCACCUUAAAACUGUCAAUACACCAACUGGAUUACUUGUUCGGGUUUCAAAGGAUUAAAACUCCAAACUUUACCGAUUCCAUAUGGAUUCAUGUGAUGUCAAUCUUGGAUGAGGUUUAGUUCUCUGAAAUCUAAAUCUUUCAAUUGUCAGCUUUCUGUUUCGGUCAUAUUCUGCUGAUGAUGGGUAGGAAUUGUUCCACGGUUCAAAGUGACAACAAAAUAAGAAAAAGGAUUGAGAAAUCACUUGCAUCAUCAAACAAAUGAAUUCUAGAUGAUGCUGAGUUUCUUCUCCACCAGUAGCAUGGGUCUGUGCAACGUCUGCUUAUCAUCUAUUUUACAACUUGAUGCGCUGAUAUCUUUGUCUUCACUAUCCUUAUUGUGAUGAAAAUCAGAUGAGCUGCCCUUCAACCACUGUCGCAUUCUUAUGCAGAAUACAAUAUGAGAGAGCAAUUGAAUUAUUUGAAUUACUGUUA